rnacentral:lncRNA from 1 species
GGGAAGUCGUUAGGGUCUUUUUUGGCGUGGAGGGGAGAUUUGUUCUUUUGUUUUCUGUAGUAAAUCUUGCUGCUGCUGGAUCUUUGGGUCUGUGCUGCGUUUGUGAGUUGUAACACGGUUUAGAGGUCUACAGAUUCACUCUUGAAGCUAGCGAGACUAUAAAUCUAUUGGGAGAGACAAAGAACUCUGGAUGUGCUGCCUUUAGGAGCUGUGAUGCUUACCGCGGAAGUUUGCAGCUUCACUCCUGAAAUCAGUGAGACCACGAACCGCACCAGAAGGAGCAAACUCCACACUAUUUUUAAGAACCGUAACAUUCACCGCGAGGGUCCACGGUUUCAUUCUUGAAGUCAGCGAGACUAUAGAACCCACCAAGUUCUGGACACAAAACCACCCCAAAAUGUGAGUUUCUAAAGGAUGAGCUGAAAAUAAAGACCACGAACGUGUUGCCCAUGGUGAUGGCUCUACACGUCCAGAGACGAUGUUUCAGCCCCGCUCCAGGAGAGACUUUCUCAUCUAUUCCGUUGGUCUGCCUAUCUAAAAAGCAAAAUUUCAAAUACUGACACCAAUAGAUGAAGACACUUUAGCUUCUUCCCUGUUUCAUCCAGUUGGGGGCUAAGUGUCCUUCGGUUUGGACUGUGCAGCUUGGGUCACCUUCUCUCUGUAGAAGAGCAACUGAAGAGGCAGAGCCGUGUGUUCCAAACCACUCAAACAAUUGAGAAAGUGGGAACCCAUUAUUCCCCAAGCCCAGCCAGCAAACCUCACCGAUGUAACAGAUAAGCACUUCCUGCAGGUGGGGCUGACACUGGCCAGGACACAGCCCUCUCUCUCACAGCAGUGUUCCAGGUUGUUCGUGCACAAAAUUUCACAAAGGUCAGAGCUCGUCUCUCCAAACAGAUGAGCUUUGCGGUUAACCUGAAUUCACUGAACUGGGAUUUAUUAUUACUAUUAUUCUAUUUUACCUCUAACAGAAGUUUAAGGUCCGUGUAAGUCUCGUUCCUUUCUCUGACUGUAGGGGAGACGCCCGGUGCGCCGUUUGGAGGGGAGAACCUGGCCUCCUUUCCUUAUCAUCUUUUCAGGUACCCAACUCCUAGCAAAUGUGUCUUCCUCCCGGGUUCUUUGGGGUAAAGAAUUUGGUGAGAAGGAGCUGAAUGUUACAGCUGCACUUCUCAGACACCUGCUCAGAGCCAAGCGUCCUCUCACCCUUUCUUUCAACUGGUAGCCAGAAAAUACGGGCUGAGCAUCAGGGAUUCUCAACUUUGUCAGCUCCAGCCCUGCCUGUUGUGACAGACAUUUCCUGAUGCCUCUUGCUCUCUAGAAUGAAGGUCGUGGGCAAUAUUACCCACACAGCCCCAUUCAAAAUCAAUCGGCUUUGUGACCUUUUGUGAAAGGAUGGUGAUUGCCGUGCCAGCAUGUGACAUGGACUUGGAUGCCUGUGCACACAGGUGCACCUUCCAGAAGGUGAGGUCGGCCCGAGUGCCCACCGCCAUGUGAGUGCACUGAUGCACAAUGACCAGUUGCUGGAAUGUUCUGAACAGAGCCCAGUGCCACCCACUUUGAUGUGUGCUAUUGUCAGAUCUCUGGAAAAAUCGGAGUGCGUUAAAUUCCUGCAAAAAUUC